CCUUUUGGGGUGGCUUAAAGGCCUGAGAUUGUCGAUCGGGGGUCCGAUACGACUAAACCCAUUGAACCUGAUCCGGUUAAUACCGGCGUAGGAAGUAGGACUA
rnacentral:ncRNA from 1 species